CGCGCCUUAGAGUAAGGGUAGCUUAUCGGUCUCCUUAGCCGAUGGUCCUGGUUCGAGUCCAGGGGGCGCAA
rnacentral:tRNA from 1 species